rnacentral:rRNA from 1 species
UACGUAGGGUCCGAGCGUUGUCCGGAAUUAUUGGGCGUAAAGAGCUCGUAGGCGGUUUGUUGCGUCGGCUGUGAAAUCCCGAGGCUCAACCUCGGGUCUGCAGUCGAUACGAGCAAACUAGAGUGUUGCAGGGGAGACUGGAAUUCCUGGUGUAGCGGUGAAAUGCGCAGAUAUCAGGAAGAACACCCGUGGCGAAGGCGGCUCUCUGGGACGGUACUGACGCUGAGACGCGAAAGCGUGGGGAGCGAACAGG